AAGCGAGCCUGCGAGGGGGAGGCAAAUCCCAAAAAUAAACGUCCCAGUUCGGAUUGUAGUCUGCAACUCGACUACAUGAAGCUGGAAUCGCUAGUAAUCGCGGAUCAGAAUGCCGCGGUGAAUACGUUCCCGGGUCUUGUACACACCGCCCGUCACACCAUGGGAGUCGGAAAUGCCCGAAGUCUGUGACCCAACCGAGAGGAGGGAGCAGCCGAAGGCAGGUCGGAUGACUGGGGUGAAGUCGUAACAAGGUACC
rnacentral:rRNA from 1 species